AUCCAACUGACCAGUCCCAAAUAGGACGAAACAAGAGUCAAACUGGAU
rnacentral:hammerhead_ribozyme from 1 species